ACUAAUGUUGAAAAAUUAGCGGAUGACUUGUGGCUGGGGGUGAAAGGCCAAUCAAACCGGGAGAUAGCUGGUUCUCCCCGAAAGCUAUUUAGGUAGCGCCUCGUGAAUUCAUCUCCGGGGGUAGAGCACUGUUUCGGCAAGGGGGUCAUCCCGACUUACCAACCCGAUGCAAACUGCGAAUACCGGAGAAUGUUAUCACGGGAGACACACGGCGGGUGCUAACGUCCGUCGUGAAGAGGGAAACAACCCAGACCGCCAGCUAAGGUCCCAAAGUCAUGGUUAAGUGGGAAACGAUGUGGGAAGGCCCAGACAGCCAGGAUGUUGGCUUAGAAGCAGCCAUCAUUUAAAGAAAGCGUAAUAGCUCACUGGUCGAGUCGGCCUGCGCGGAAGAUGUAACGGGGCUAAACCAUGCACCGAAGCUGCGGCAGCGACGCUGAUGCGUUGUUGGGUAGGGGAGCGUUCUGUAAGCCUGCGAAGGUGUGCUGUGAGGCAUGCUGGAGGUAUCAGAAGUGCGAAUGCUGACAUAAGUAACGAUAAAGCGGGUGAAAAGCCCGCUCGCCGGAAGACCAAGGGUUCCUGUCCAACGUUAAUCGGGGCAGGGUGAGUCGACCCCUAAGGCGAGGCCGAAAGGCGUAGUCGAUGGGAAACAGGUUAAUAUUCCUGUACUUGGUGUUACUGCGAAGGGGGGACGGAGAAGGCUAUGUUGGCCGGGCGACGGUUGUCCCGGUUUAAGCGUGUAGGCUGGUUUUCCAGGCAAAUCCGGAAAAUCAAGGCUGAGGCGUGAUGACGAGGCACUACGGUGCUGAAGCAACAAAUGCCCUGCUUCCAGGAAAAGCCUCUAAGCAUCAGGUAACAUCAAAUCGUACCCCAAACCGACACAGGUGGUCAGGUAGAGAAUACCAAGGCGCUUGAGAGAACUCGGGUGAAGGAACUAGGCAAAAUGGUGCCGUAACUUCGGGAGAAGGCACGCUGAUAUGUAGGUGAAGUCCCUUGCGGAUGGAGCUGAAAUCAGUCGAAGAUACCAGCUGGCUGCAACUGUUUAUUAAAAACACAGCACUGUGCAAACACGAAAGUGGACGUAUACGGUGUGACGCCUGCCCGGUGCCGGAAGGUUAAUUGAUGGGGUCAGCGCAAGCGAAGCUCUUGAUCGAAGCCCCGGUAAACGGCGGCCGUAACUAUAACGGUCCUAAGGUAGCGAAAUUCCUUGUCGGGUAAGUUCCGACCUGCACGAAUGGCGUAAUGAUGGCCAGGCUGUCUCCACCCGAGACUCAGUGAAAUUGAACUCGCUGUGAAGAUGCAGUGUACCCGCGGCAAGACGGAAAGACCCCGUGAACCUUUACUAUAGCUUGACACUGAACAUUGAGCCUUGAUGUGUAGGAUAGGUGGGAGGCUUUGAAGUGUGGACGCCAGUCUGCAUGGAGCCGACCUUGAAAUACCACCCUUUAAUGUUU
rnacentral:rRNA from 1 species